CAGCCACCACUGCUGUCAUGUGAUGAGUCGGCCUCUGUCUGUGUCAGCCAUGGUUGAAAGAAAGCUCAGAUUCACUCACAGAUACAUCACUAUGCAAAGAGUCAAAGCUCUCCCCUUGAUUCUUUGCAGAGAAGAGGAAUAUACAUUUCUGCUCUCCUCUGUUACUUUGGCUCACAUCCCUAAACUCCUGUCAGACAUCUACUCAUCCACAGCCCUCUCACCAGGGGUGGGAUAAGAUGUCCAAACUCUCCUCGACCUCCAACCCCCUCCCGUAUGUUUCGGUCAAGCCUUCAGUGCUUCCCUGGUCCUCCUGAGAGAGUUUUGCUGCCGAUGCAAACAUUAACAAACUGCACAUCUCACUGCCCUCCUGUUAAGAUAACACAAUUAGCAUGUGGACCCACCGCUCCGUCAAAUCUCACCCUCAAUACCAAUUAACACGUAACACAUCACAGAGUAACACUAAUUCUGAGAAGAAGGUUGAUAAGGUUCUUAUUUCCUUCAAGAUGCAACUCUCCUUUUCGCCUAUUUUGGCAAAAGGCUAAGUUAAAACCAGGUUUAGCUUGACAAAUAAUGAAGUUUUCAUCUAUACCACAAAGUAAAAUGUGUAGUUAGGUGUCAAUUCUGUAUCUCUCAUUUGAAGAAAGACACUAACUAUAACAUAUGAAAUGAAUGAUAUCCAAUUAACUUACUUUAUUAAGGUAAUUACUGAUAUGCAUAAUAGUCUAAUAUGCCUAUUUUAAUUAUGCUUGCAAGGGAAUAAUUUAACAUUGUAAUAAUUAGGCACAUUUUAAUUAGUGAGAUUAUUGUAUACAUAAUGAGGUGUACCACUUUUAUUCACUUAGAAAUAUGAAGAUAUUUGACAAUAGCUUUGAAAAUCACCAUGGAAAAAGAUACAACAUUACACAUUCACAUAAUUCAAAUCAAAUAAAAUAUGUAGUCAUAUGUAGUAAUGGGGAAUU
ensembl:lncRNA